UGCUUUUCUAUACGUCUUGGAGAAGAAGGGAAGAAGGGAGACUAUGGCAUGGUUCAUGUUUGCAGUUGUGCCUACAAGACGAGUUUCCUGUCCUGCAAGGUAGUGCAGGUGAUUGCAGAGACUGAUGAAUGAUGACAAGGCAGGAGAAAUGUUGUCUGUAAAUCUUUACCACUAUUUGACUGCAAAACUGCCCCCGCUAUCUCUCUGCUGUUCAGACGAUCAGAUAUGCUGGGUGAAGCAGCUGCGAGCCCCCAUCCCUUCUGCCCCUCCUCACAGCACUAUCGGUGCGUGGCCUGGGUGCAGCACCGGGUGGGAGCCUCUGACGCAGGGCCCAGAGCUCCUCGCCACCACAGGGGAGCUGUGACAAUGUGCAGACUUUGCCCCCUACGUCACACAAGGGAGCAGGCAGAGACAGGUAUAUUGUGGCGGAAAAAAAUGACAGUAUACCUGUCACAGGCGCAGAGUAAGGCACCUCCCCUUUGAAACUUCCCAAGCAGCUACGUCUUGUUUUAUAAUGCUUUCAUCCUCCUUCUUCUCUGAGCUCUUCUUCACUUUGAGCCAUUCUUCCUGGGCAUAGCACCCCAAAAACAGCUUCCCCGGAUCUCACACACCUCUCCAAGCUCUCUUCUGCACGUUUAUUUUCCUGCAAUACCAUCCUCACAUCUCUCUGGGUUUACACAUGAAAGCCUGUUUUCUUCUCAAAAAUAAUAGGCAAAAGCAUAUGCAGAUGGGAGCAUCUCAUUCUGCCGUGUAUUUUUUCUUCUUCUCUCCAACCUAAAAAACUCUGCCCUUUUCUUCUUUUUCUACAGCCUUCACUUCCCUUGUGAGGUGCCCCUCCAUGAUCAGGCGAGGUGACCAAAGCCUGUAUCAGGUGAUUCUGCAUGCAGCCAGUUAUCCCGUAAGGUCCAGAUGAAGAAACAGUUUAUAUGUGAUAGUAGCAAGCUCUUUGAACCGUGGGAUGUGGACGGUGAAUGAUAAAAGUGUGUCUGCUGCUGGAAUUCCUGUUCAUCAUGGUGACAGAAGAGAUCAGGAAAGGAUAAUAUGACACUCAAUCCCCACUUUCACUGAGGCAUACCUCUGUUUGGCAAACUGAAAGGACAGGAAGAGAACUGAAGAGUAUUACUGAAAAUUCUAUAGUAACUACCAAAUAGCAGAGUUAGUGACUUUACCUACUGGCAACAAUCCAGAUUUGUAACUCGCACAUGUGCAAUUCACAUUUGUACCAAAAACUAAUUUCCUACUGAAGCCAUUGAAGAAAGAUGCUGUAAAGAGCCCAGUCCUCAGAAAAGCCAAGAAGCCCAUGCUGAGGGACUGCUGGCCUCCCAAGACUGUAAUCAGAGCUGAGAGUGCUGAGCUGCUUUCAGAGGAAUCUCGGUACCAUCCAGCACUAAACUCCAAAUGUUAACCACUACUGUAAAAAUAGUUCCCUUUUUUCAGCUGGGAUUAUCUCCUUUCGAACAGACAAGCACAUGAAGUUACAAUAUCACAGCAAUAGAUAACUGUUGGCUGUUGCAAAAAGAUUAUUCUCUUAUUUAAUGCUACGAGAAGUGUCCAAAACAGUCCUUUACUGAGACAGAAAGAAAGAAGAAAUAUACUGGGACAAACCAGGGACUUUUGUAUCUGCAGAAGAUCUGAGAGACCACCCCAGCCUCUCUGAGACCUUGAUGUGCUUUCUCACUUGCUCACUGAUCCCCUUGGCUCAUUCUGUGUCAAACAGUGCAAGACCAGAAGGCAUGAGCUUCUGAGGAAGUCUCGGAUUGCUUCUGUCCAUGAAGGAAUCCAAAGCUCUGCACACAGUUGUUCUUAGAGCUGACUCUGAAACUGAAAAUCUGCUCUGCUGGGCCAAGGAAGAUAAUAUUUAUGGAACUACUGUGCCUCAGAGUAUCUGCCCUGCAUGGAUAGCUAGAAUGGCAGAGGUCCCUGUUAACCUUCUAGUUAAAAAAAAUUAUGUAGCAACUUAGGCCAAAUUUAAGUUAGGAAACUUCUUAUUUUGUUAUCAGAAUUGCUAUGACAAACACUUGCUCCUGAGGAAGUAUUUGCUCAAGCUGAAGCCAAGUCUUGAGCAACCAUGUUUAUAUCCAUUGCAAGAGCCACAAGAACUUACAGGAAGUGUGAAUUAAAAUCAAUGCAAAUGAUAAAUCUCUAGUUUUAAUUUAAAAUAGACUCUAUAUAAUUGAUUAAAACAGACAUAGGAAGGCCAAAAGGAAGAAGAGCAAAAACUUCACAGAUAAAAGUGAAACAUGAUCAUGUUCAUGCCAUGCCUCCUUUGAGCACAAUUGCUGUAGUUCUUAACUGUUAAGAUAAUAAAAGGCAUAAGCUGUAGGA